UACGAAGGGGGCGAGCGUUGUUCGGAUUUACUGGGCGUAAAGGGCGCGUAGGCGGCCCGUUUUGUCAGGCGUGAAAGCCCUGGGCUCAACCUGGGAACUGCGCUUGGGACGGAUGGGCUUGAGAUCGGGAGAGGAGAGUGGAAUUCCCAGUGUGGAGGUGAAAUUCGUAGAGAUUGGGAAGAACACCAGUGGCGAAGGCGGCUAUCUGGACGGUUUCUGACGCUAAGACGCGAAAGCGUGGGGAGCAAACAGG
rnacentral:rRNA from 1 species